rnacentral:rRNA from 1 species
ACGGGUGAGUAAAGCAUCGGAACGUACCCAGUCGUGGGGGAUAACGUAGCGAAAGUUACGCUAAUACCGCAUACGUCCUGAGGGAGAAAGCGGGGGACUCGCAAGAGCCUCGCGCGAUUGGAGCGGCCGAUGUCGGAUUAGCUAGUUGGUGAGGUAAAAGCUCACCAAGGCGACGAUCCGUAGCUGGUCUGAGAGGAUGAUCAGCCACACUGGGACUGAGACACGGCCCAGACUCCUACGGGAGGCAGCAGUGGGGAAUUUUGGACAAUGGGGGAAACCCUGAUCCAGCCAUGCCGCGUGAGUGAAGAAGGCCUUCGGGUUGUAAAGCUCUUUCGGACGGAAAGAAAUCGCACAGGUAAAUAAUCUGUGUGGAUGACGGUACCGUAAGAAGAAGCACCGGCUAACUACGUGCCAGCAGCCGCGGUAAUACGUAGGGUGCGAGCGUUAAUCGGAAUUACUGGGCGUAAAGCGUGCGCAGGCGGUUGCAUAAGACAGAUGUGAAAUCCCCGGGCUCAACCUGGGAACUGCGUUUGUGACUGUGCGACUGGAGUACGGUAGAGGGGGGUGGAAUUCCUGGUGUAGCAGUGAAAUGCGUA